rnacentral:misc_RNA from 1 species
UCCGGUUUGUCACCGGCAGUCCCAUUAGAGCGCCCAACUUAAUGUGGCAACUAAGGACAAGGGUUGCGCUCGUUGCGGGACUUAACCCAACAUCUCACGACACGAGCUGACGACAGCCAUGCAGCACCUGUCUCACGGUUCCCGAAGGCACUCUCUGAUCUCUCAAAGAUUCCGUGGAUGUCAAGGCCAGGUAAGGUUCUGCGCGUUGCAUCGAAUUAAACCACAUACUCCACCGCUUGUGCGGGCCCCCGUCAAUUCCUUUGAGUUUCAGUCUUGCGACCGUACUCCCCAGGCGGCGAACUUAACGCGUUAGCUUCGACACUGAGAGCCUAGUUGCUCCCAACGUCCAGUUCGCAUCGUUUAGGGCGUGGACUAC